rnacentral:rRNA from 1 species
UACGGAGGGUGCGAGCGUUGUCCGGAAUCACUGGGCGUAAAGGGCGCGUAGGUGGCUGGGGAAGUCGGCGGUGAAAGCCCGGAGCUCAACUCCGGGUCGGCCGUCGAGACUCCUCGGCUCGAGCUCACUAGAGGCAGAUGGAAUUCCGGGUGUAGCGGUGGAAUGCGUAGAGAUCCGGAAGAACACCGGUGGCGAAGGCGGUCUGCUGGGGUGAGGCUGAGGAGCGAAAGUGUGGGGAGCGAACAGG